UACGUAGGGUGCGAGCGUUGUCCGGAAUUACUGGGCGUAAAGAGCUCGUAGGCGGUCCGUCACGUCGGAUGUGAAAUUCCAGGGCUCAACCCUGGACCUGCAUUCGAUACGGGCGGACUAGAGUUCGGUAGGGGAGACUGGAAUUCCUGGUGUAGCGGUGAAAUGCGCAGAUAUCAGGAGGAACACCGGUGGCGAAGGCGGGUCUCUGGGCCGAUACUGACGCUGAGGAGCGAAAGCGUGGGGAGCGAACAGG
rnacentral:rRNA from 1 species